AUGAACGCUGGCGGCGUGCCUAAUACAUGCAAGUCGAGCGAACAGAUGAGGAGCUUGCUCCUCUGACGUUAGCGGCGGACGGGUGAGUAACACGUGGAUAACCUACCUAUAAGACUGGGAUAACUUCGGGAAACCGGAGCUAAUACCGGAUAAUAUAUUGAACCGCAUGGUUCAAUAGUGAAAGACGGUUUUGCUGUCACUUAUAGAUGGAUCCGCGCCGCAUUAGCUAGUUGGUAGGGUAACGGCUUACCAAGGCAACGAUGCGUAGCCGACCUGAGAGGGUGAUCGGCCACACUGGAACUGAGACACGGUCCAGACUCCUACGGGAGGCAGCAGUAGGGAAUCUUCCGCAAUGGGCGAAGGCCUGACGGAGCAACGCCGCGUGAGUGAUGAAGGUCUUCGGAUCGUAAAACUCUGUUAUUAGGGAAGAACAAAUGUGUAAGUAACUAUGCACGUCUUGACGGUACCUAAUCAGAAAGCCACGGCUAACUACGUG
rnacentral:rRNA from 1 species